UACGACGUUAGCUUUGUAAGAGAGUGAACAAAACUCCAGGUUGAUUUUAAAAUAUCUUUAUUUAAACAUGAUCCAGAAAAAAAAAUACAUCUUUUAAAAGUUCCUGCAGGUAGCGAACACUUUGUGAGACGCCAGAGGAGUGAAGCCACGUAACAAACAGUUGGUUCAGCACACACGGACACGCAGGCUAACGCUGGAGGCUAACGCUGGAGGCUAACGCUGGAGGCUAACACUGGAGGCUAACGCUGGAAGCUAACAGCUCUGAGCCUGAAGCUAAAACACCCUCAGAGGAAACUCUUCCACCUCCCUCCACUAAUACUGAGAUGGAAAACACAGCAAAUCUUUACUUUUAUAGACUGAACCACUCCUUCCCGACAGAAUCAAACCUGUGACGUUCACACGCAGACCGGUUCUGAUUCUUAUGUAAACAAAUCCCAACAUCAGGACUUUAUCAGCCAAAACAAGAACAGGUCAAAUCAGGCAAAGUGUGUGAAAGUCGGCCGGUCCUUCCCAGAAAAAUGUUUGAAAUCACAACUCAUGCUGAUGUUUAGAGGACAGCAGUGGACAUUUCCAGUUGUUUCUAGGGCGCCAAAACCAGUUUCUUUCACAGGACCGCAGUGAAUAAUUCUAUUGGUUUAAGUGGCGACAAACUGGAAUCGUCCGCUGCUGUCCUUAAAAAACACUCAGUGGUUUCAGUGGCAACCAAAGCAGGUGAUUUCUAAAGGACCAGUGGACAUUAUCAGUGAUGUUAUCGGCAUCAAAACAGUAUUUAAGGACAGCAGCCGACUCACUUUAACAUCACCAGCGUAGUGACUCCUGCAGGAUCCUCGACUGUCCGACUCUGUCUGAGACAUGAGGACGUGUCAGCAGCUGGUCACUGGGAUCACCUGCAGACGGACAGGUGUCGUCACCUCUGGUGGGUGCAGUCGUACGUAUGAAGCCCUUUGAUGACUGACUGAUGGUUCUGAUGUUUAAAUAUAGAGAUAUUCUCACUUCUGUACAUUAAAUGUGGGUCUCAGAGCUGAAAUAUAAUCUGUUAAUCUGUCAGUAAAGUUAGAGGUGCAAUAUCACCGAAGUAACUGCUAACUGUUGUUAGCUUUAGCUGCUAGUUAGCUCAGUUAGCAGUGCAGCUAGCAGUGUGGACUGUGUUUAUCCUGCUAACAAAAGCUCUUUGGGUCAACACAUGAUAGGGCUAGCUGGCUAGCAUGCUAACUUCAGGUGAUAUCUCUGCAACACUGCGCGUAACGUAACAUCAAAACGCUUCUUCUGUUGAUAAUCUAUAAUAAUUCUGACACAUGGCAGCUUGAACUUUAGUUUUUCUGGCUCCGUAUUUACACAUCGCACCCACAUACAUAUUUAUAAAUAUAUAUAUGUAAUAAAUCAGAUACUGGCAGUGUGGCAGGAGAUAUAUGAUUUUGUUCAGUAUAAAUAUAAAUGAUGAGGAUCGAGUUUGGACUCCUGAGUUGGACUCAAGCUCAAACUUGGCGUGAUGUAU
rnacentral:lncRNA from 1 species